GCUGAACGCUGUUACCGGAAACUGAGUAGAAACAGGAAGUGUGUGCAGGUACACGAUUAUAGUUUCUCUUUCUUGAAUACCGUUAGACAGAGACGGACAGACUCUGACAAAACUGUAUGAGACAUUGGCAUCAGAAUAAGGUUUUGAAGUGUCUGACAGUACGUCACUGAUUGGUUACUUUAUUAAGAGGCACUAAAAAUACGUCAUCGUCAUCAGAAGGAAGCCAGCAAGGAGAAGCCAACUCAAGUCAGAUCUCAGGAUAAUGCUGGUUGGUGAAACUGGAGCUGGAAAGAGUGCAUCAGGAAACACCAUCCUGUGAGAAGAGGUGUUUGAAGAAAAACUUCCUUCUAAAUCUGUGACUAAUACAUCCCAGAAACAUCAGAAGGUGAAAGGUGGAAGCAUCUCAGUGAUUGACACAAUGGAAAGAGGAGAACAUGAUACAAAUGAGAGGUCGGAAAAAGAGGAAAAAAAGUUCAAAAGAAAUCUGGAGAUGCAGAAAAAGGAAGAGAAAGAGAAAGUAAAGUCAAAUAUGACUAAUAAUGGCGUAGGGAUAGUAAUAUGUUUAGCAGCAAUUAGAAUUUUUCAGGGGUAGGUGUAACGAAUUGCAACUACUCGGGUUACUACAAUUAAGUAGUUUUUUCGGGUACUUGUAAUUUUUUUGAGUACAUUUUUAACUUUCUACUGCACACAUGUUGAUGGCACAUGAACAAAAAAAUAUUCCACAUCAUUUUUUCCUUCAUUUGGGAACAUUUUAUUAAUAAAACAUUUUUAAUGCAACAAUACCCCCCAAAAUAUUUUAAUGCAACAAUACCCCCCAAAAUAUUUUAAUGCAACAAUGGUAUAGAAUCAUAGAGAAAAUGAUCAUAAGACGAUUCUCAAAGAGCAAUGCAAAAAAAAGUCAGGAAAUCAUCAAGUAAAAAGGGAAAACCCAUUGAAACAUAUUGAUAUGUCGGAUUUAAACAUGCAUAUGUUUGUAUCAUGGAGUGUGUCAUGUCAUAUAAUGUGCUUCAUGUAUAGAUUUCACUCUGUACGAAACUUCAAAAAUCACUUCUUCUCUGCUGUGAAAUAGAGGUGCAGAGGUGGAAGUAACGAAUUACAAUUACUCACGUUACUGUAAUUAAGCAGUUUUUUUUUUUUUUUUUUAGUGAGUAGGCCUACAUUUUUAAAUCUAUAAAUGUACUUGUACUUAAGUACAAAUUAAGCUAAGUAAUCUACUUCCCUACAUGUAAAAUCACACUCUGUCACUGAGUACUUGAAUUAAUAUUUAAACCUUUGAUCAGCAGCCAAUAAAAAUAUCCGCUCAUAAACGGACCAAUGAAAACCCUGAUAUUUCGGCUGGUUCUCAUUCUCUCCCCGACAGCGAGUUUGACACACACCCGCUCCUCCUGUCACUCACUCGUUUCAGUUACAGCGUGGGAUUGCAGGUAUUGCGCAUAAUAUUAAUCACACCCGCAGGUUUCUAUGACACAUUUUAAUUACUAAUUUGGAAAGCGCAUGAUUGUAAUGGCAGAAAAAGACACAUGCUCUCAGAUAUACAAGUGAUAUACAAGUCAUUCAGAUAUUGUGCUCUGUGUAAUCGCGAAUCUCUGUGCUCUUAAAGGUGCUAAAGAGGAUCUUUUCGUCGACUGAGAAACCAAAGACUGUUACUGAGUUUUUGAAAUGAGCGCAUGCGUAAGAAUUUCGAGGGAACGCCUCCCAAAACUCGUGCACGAGU